UACGUAGGGAGCAAGCGUUGUUCGGAUUUACUGGGCGUAAAGGGCGCGUAGGCGGCAAUUCAAGUCAUCUGUGAAAUCUCCGGGCUUAACUCGGAACGGUCAGAUGAUACUGUUUUGCUAGAGUGCAGAAGGGGCAAUCGGAAUUCUUGGUGUAGCGGUGAAAUGCGUAGAUAUCAAGAGGAACACCUGAGGUGAAGACGGGUUGCUGGGCUGACUCUGACGCUGAGGCGCGAAAGCCAGGGGAGCAAACGGG
rnacentral:rRNA from 1 species